GACGAACGCUGGCGGCGCGCCUAACACAUGCAAGUCGAACGGAGCUAUUUCGAUAGAUCUCUUCGGAGUGACAUUGGCUUAGCUUAGUGGCGAACGGGUGAGUAACACGUGAGGAACCUGCCUUUCAGAGGGGGACAACCAGUUGGGAAACGACUGCUAAAUACCGCAUAAGACCACGAUACGGCAUACGUAUUGAGGUCAAAGGUAGCAAAUCCGCUGAAAGAUGGCCUCGCGUCCGAUUAGCUAGAUGGU
rnacentral:rRNA from 1 species